GAAAGUAAAGAUCCGCCUAGCGCGGAUUUAGGGAAGAUGGGCGGAACGCCUAUAAAGCGACCGCUCCGCACUCCCGGGGCGUCUCGUUCUCAUUACGAGAAGAGGCGCACCAAGAGCGUACACGCUGGGACCCGAAAGAUGGUGAACUAUGCCUGGUCAGGACGAAGUCAGGGGAAACCCUGAUGGAGGUCCGUAGCGAUUCUGACGUGCAAAUCGAUCGUCGGAACUGGGUAUAGGGGCGAAAGACUAAUCGAACCAUCUAGUAGCUGGUUCCCUCCGAAGUUUCCCUCAGGAUAGCUGGCGCUCGUCUGUGACGAGUUUCAUCCGGUAAAGCGAAUGAUUAGAGGCAUUGGGGUCAAACGACCUCAACCUAUUCUCAAACUUUAAAUGGGUGAGAUCUCCGGCUUGCUCGAACUAAUGAAGCUGCGAGAAUCGAAUCAGAGUGCCAAGUGGGCCAUUUUUGGUAAGCAGAACUGGCGCUGUGGGAUGAACCAAACGUCGAGUUAAAGCGCCUAAAUCGACGCUUAUGGGAUACCAUGAAAGGCGU
rnacentral:rRNA from 1 species